rnacentral:rRNA from 1 species
CUACGGGAGGCUGCAGUGAGGAAUAUUGGUCAAUGGACGCAAGUCUGAACCAGCCAUGCCGCGUGCAGGAUGACGGCCCUAUGGGUUGUAAACUGCUUUUAUUAAGGAAUAAACCCCAUUACGUGUAAUGGGCUGAACGUACUUAAAGAAUAAGCAUCGGCUAACUCCGUGCCAGCAGCCGCGGUAAUACGGAGGAUGCAAGCGUUAUCCGGAUUCAUUGGGUUUAAAGGGUUCGCAGGCGGCGUAUUAAGUCAGUGGUGAAAUCCCCCGGCUCAACCGGGGAACUGCCAUUGAUACUGGUAUGCUAGAGUAUAGUUGGCGUAGGCGGAAUAUUUCAUGUAGCGGUGAAAUGCUUAGAUAUGAAAUAGAACACCGAUCGCGAAGGCAGCUUACGAAACUAUAACUGACGCUCAGGAACGAAAGCGUGGGGAGCGAACAGGAUUAGAUACCCCCGUAGUC